AUGACCAGCUCCCUGUCCGUCUUCUUCCGCAUGGUGGGAUUCCUCAGGAACAGCUUGAUCUUCCUGCCGAGCCAGCCCACGGUGGUGGUGCUGUCCAUCCACCAGCCCAGCGCGCGCCUCCUCUCCGCUGUGGAUUCGCUCCUCGUCCUGUCCCGCGGCACCGUCCUCCACCACGGCUCACUCGCCUCCCUCGACGCCGCCCUCCUUUCACACGGCUUCGCCGUCCCCGCGCAGCUCAACCCGCUAGAGUACGCCCUCGAGGUCAUCGACCAGAUACCCCAUCCCUCGCCCUCCUCCCCUGAACCCAAGUCGGCGCAAGAUCUCACAACCAAGGCAUCGGAUUCGGACCGCCACAGGCCGGCCAUGGCGACACCGCCGUCGUUGUCCUGUACUUCGCCGUGCUCACGGAUACAUGAGUUCGUGGUUCUGUACAAGACGGCGUGGAAGGUGGUGUAUCGCAGCAAGCAGCUGCUAUUGACCAACUUCCUCGAGGCUGUGAUCGUCGGGACGCUGCUGGGCACCAUCUACAUCAACGCCGGCUAUGGCGAGGCCGGCGCACACAAGCGACUGGGGCUCUUCGCCUUCACGCUGACGUUCCUGCUCACCUCCACCACGGAGACGCUGCCAACGUUCGUCACGGAGCGGCCGAUUGUGCUCGCUGAGACGGCGGCGGGUCUGUACCGGCUGUCCACCCAUGCCACCGCGGCCACGAUGGUGUUCCUCCCGUACCUCCUGGCGGUGGCGCUGCUCUACUCCUCGUGCGUCUACUUCCCCGUCGGCCUCUGCGCGUCGCCGGCGGCAUUCAGAGUGUUUGUGCUGGUGGUGUGGGUGGUGGUGCUCACGGGUCACGGCCAACUCCUUCGUACUGUUCAUAAGCUCGUUCGCGCCGGAGCCAAGUGA
rnacentral:rRNA from 1 species